rnacentral:rRNA from 1 species
UUAAAUUGAAGAGUUAGAUCAUGGCUCAGAAUGAACGCUGGCGGCAGGCCUAACACAUGCAAGUCGA